rnacentral:misc_RNA from 1 species
AACAUCGCGCACCUGCGGGAACCUGCGGAAGGAUCAUUACUGAGUGCGGGUUCCAAUGAGCCCAACCUCCCACCCGUGUUUACCGUAACCGCGUUGCCUCGGCGGGCCCACUGGGGCCUGUCCCCGGUCGCCGGGGGGCAUCUGCCCCCGGGCCCGCGCCCGCCGAAGCGCCCUAGAACCCUGCCUGAACAGUGAGUCUGAGUGAGUGAUUGAAUCAUUAAAACUUUCAACAAUGGAUCU